ACGGGUGAGUAACGCGUGGGAAUCUACCCAUCCCUACGGAACAACUCCGGGAAACUGGAGCUAAUACCGUAUACGCCCUUUGGGGGAAAGAUUUAUCGGGGAUGGAUGAGCCCGCGUUGGAUUAGCUAGUUGGUGGGGUAAAGGCCUACCAAGGCGACGAUCCAUAGCUGGUCUGAGAGGAUGAUCAGCCACAUUGGGACUGAGACACGGCCCAAACUCCUACGGGAGGCAGCAGUGGGGAAUAUUGGACAAUGGGCGCAAGCCUGAUCCAGUCAUGCCGCGUGAGUGAUGAAGGUCUUAGGAUUGUAAAGCUCUUUCACCGGAGAAGAUAAUGACGGUAUCCGGAGAAGAAGCCCCGGCUAACUUCGUGCCAGCAGCCGCGGUAAUACGAAGGGGGCUAGCGUUGUUCGGAAUUACUGGGCGUAAAGCGCACGUAGGCGGAUAUUUAAGUCAGGGGUGAAAUCCCAGAGCUCAACUCUGGAACUGCCUUUGAUACUGGGUAUCUUGAGUAUGGAAGAGGUAAGUGGAAUUGCGAGUGUAGAGGUGAAAUUCGUAGA
rnacentral:rRNA from 1 species